rnacentral:rRNA from 1 species
UAGGGAAUCUUCGGCAAUGGGGGCAACCCUGACCGAGCAACGCCGCGUGAGUGAAGAAGGUUUUCGGAUCGUAAAGCUCUGUUGUAAGAGAAGAACGAGUGUGAGAGUGGAAAGUUCACGCUGUGACGGUAUCUUACCAGAAAGGGACGGCUAACUACGUGCCAGCAGCCGCGGUAAUACGUAGGUCCCGAGCGUUAUCCGGAUUUAUUGGGCGUAAAGCGAGCGCAGGCGGUUAGAUAAGUCUGAAGUUAAAGGCUGUGGCUUAACCAUAGUACGCUUUGGAAACUGUUUAACUUGAGUGCAGAAGGGGAGAGUGGAAUUCCAUGUGUAGCGGUGAAAUGCGUAGAUAUAUGGAGGAACACCGGUGGCGAAAGCGGCUCUCUGGUCUGUAACUGACGCUGAGGCUCGAAAGCGUGGGGAGCGAACAGGAUUAGAUACCCUGGUAGUCCACGCCGUAAACGAUGAGUGCUAGGUGUUGGAUCCUUUCCGGGAUUCAGUGCCGCAGCUAACGCAUUAAGCACUCCGCCUGGGGAGUACGACCGCAAGGUU